rnacentral:rRNA from 1 species
AUGCCGUCAUGAUCGCAGCCUGAUGCAGCCAUGCCGCGUGAGUGAUGACGGCCCUAGGGUUGUAAAGCUCUUUCAACAGGGAAGAUAAUGACGGUACCUGCAGAAGAAGGUCCGGCUAACUUCGUGCCAGCAGCCGCGGUGAUACGAAGGGGGCUAGCGUUGUUCGGAAUUACUGGGCGUAAAGCGCGGUAGGCGGAUUGUUAAGUUAGGGGUGAAAUCCCGAGGCUCAACCUCGGAACUGCCUUUGAUACUGGCAAUCUAGAGUUCGAGAGAGGUGAGUGGAAUUCCCAGUGGAGAGGUGAAAUUCCUAGAUAUUCGGAAGAACACCAGUGGCGAAAGGGGCUCACUGGCUCGAUACUGACGCUUAAGUGCCAAAGCGUGGGGAGCAAACAGGAUUAGAUACCCUGGUAGUCCACCCCGUAAACGAUGGGGGCUAGCCGGUGGGUCUCUUACAACUUGAUGGCGCAGUUAACUCAUUAAGCUUCCCGCCUGGGGAGUACGGUCGCCAGAUUAAAACUCAAAGGAAUUGACGGCGG